GUAGCUUUCCAGACUCUACUUUUGUUGCCGGAGAGAAGUGACGCUGAUCUUUCGAAGUAUCCGAAGAUCAUCUAAGUCCACCCAUCCCAUUGCCUCUUAGAGAAAAUCCCAAAGUUUGGACCCCCUCACAGCCAAAGCUUCCUUCCCUAUAUUGCAAGUGGAGGGGUUGUUACGAUUUCUAAUCUGAGGAAGACAGAGACAGCUGUCCAAAAACAGAUCCUGGAAAGUUACUGCUUAGAAGUUUAAAUAUAAUGACAUGAAGAAUCCAUCCAUAAGGGCGCUUCAGCCCAGGCUUCAGCCUGUCGUCACACUGCUCGUUCUUCUUCAAAAUAACACCCCCAAGUUCUUAUUCAUUUGAUCCCUCCAGCUCCUUGCAAGAAAGGCCCUUUCCCUUCAAUCUACAGACCCGAGGAAAAGAGUUACUGUACUGCGAAACUAUUGGAUCACAGCAACAGGCCAAAUACUGCUUCUGGCACAUCUCGCCUAAAAUGGAGCAAGAAGCCGACGUCAGGUUGCUGCUGACAAAUCUAUCUAUUUGGGGCAAAUUGUCAGUGAGAAACUUCCGCUCGAACUCUUUGGGACAAAACUGGCUCUUUGAAAGGAUAAAUCCCAUUGCCUGAAGGCCUGAACAAUGGCCGAAUGUGUUGCUGUUGCCUUUGCCGCUACUGCUGCUGCUGCUGCUGGGGCUGGGCCUCUGACAAAGGGCGGAUUAAUUGGUGCCGUGGCUGACUGGUUCGAGAUGGCUCCACUCAGGGUGCGCUGCGGGGAGCCCCAUUGACUGGGCCCCGAGUCCCACUUUUCACAAACUCCAAACAAAAGUCAAUUUCUUUCUUAUAAGGCUGGGGAAAAGGAGAGAGGAGGGGUGGUGGGGGGAAAUUGCUCGGUGUUUGAGCUGGGGAAAGUGACUUGUUGGAUUAGAGGAUGUCAUGCUCUCCCUAGCUGUCUCUCUCAUGCUUUAAAGUUAGGGCUCCAAGAACUCCA
rnacentral:lncRNA from 1 species